rnacentral:rRNA from 1 species
UACGAAGGGGGCUAGCGUUGUUCGGAAUUACUGGGCGUAAAGCGCACGUAGGCGGACUAUUAAGUCAGGGGUGAAAUCCCGGGGCUCAACCCCGGAACUGCCUUUGAUACUGGUAGUCUAGAGUCCGGAAGAGGUGAGUGGAAUUCCGAGUGUAGAGGUGAAAUUCGUAGAUAUUCGGAGGAACACCAGUGGCGAAGGCGGCUCACUGGUCCGGUACUGACGCUGAGGUGCGAAAGCCAGGGGAGCAAACGGG